GACGAACCGUGCGAACGUUGUUCGGAAUCACUGGGCUUAAAGGGCGCGUAGGCGGGCAAGCAAGUCCGGGGUGAAAGCCCCCAGCUCAACUGGGGAAGUGCCUUGGAAACUGCUUGUCUAGAGGGAGGUAGGGGCAUGUGGAACUUCGGGUGGAGCGGUGAAAUGCGUUGAUAUCCGAAGGAACGCCGGUGGCGAAAGCGACGUGCUGGAUCUCUUCUGACGCUGAGGCGCGAAAGCUAGGGUAGCGAACGGG
rnacentral:rRNA from 1 species